GUACGGGAGGCAGCAGUAGGGAAUAUUGGACAAUGGGCGAAAGCCUGAUCCAGCCAUGCCGCGUGAUGGAUGAAGGCCCUCUGGGUUGUAAACAUCUUUUAUUAGGGAAGAAACAUCUCGUUUCUACGAGACUUGACGGUACCUGAUGAAUAAGCACCGGCUAACUCCGUGCCAGCAGCCGCGGUAAUACGGAGGGUGCAAGCGUUAUCCGGAUUUACUGGGUUUAAAGGGUGCGUAGGCGGGAAAAUAAGUCAGUGGUGAAAGCACCGGGCUCAACUCGGUAACUGCCAUUGAUACUGUUUUUCUUGAAUGCGAUUGAGGUAAGCGGAAUGUUGCAUGUAGCGGUGAAAUGCUUAGAUAUGUUACAGAACACCAAUUGUGAAGACAGCUUACUAAGUCGUGAUUGACGCUGAGGCACGAAAGCGUGGGGAGCAAACAGGAUUAGAAACCCUAGUAGUCCG
rnacentral:rRNA from 1 species